rnacentral:rRNA from 1 species
GACGAACGCUGGCGGCGUGCCUAAUACAUGCAAGUCGAGCGAAGUUUUUCUGGUGCUUGCACUAGAAAAACUUAGCGGCGCACGGGUGAGUAACACGUAAAGAACCUGCCUCAUAGACUGGGACAACUAUUGGAAACGAUAGCUAAUACCGGAUAACAGUAUUUCUCGCAUGAGAGAUAUUUAAAAGUUGGUUAUGCUAACACUAUGAGAUGGCUUUGCGGUGCAUUAGCUAGUUGGUGGGGUAAAGGCCCACCAAGGCGACGAUGCAUAGCCGACCUGAGAGGGUGAUCGGCCACACUGGGACUGAGACACGGCCCAGACUCCUACGGGAGGCAGCAGUAGGGAAUCUUCCGCAAUGGGCGAAAGCCUGACGGAGCAACGCCGCGUGAGUGAAGAAGGAUUUCGGUUCGUAAAGCUCUGUUGUUAGGGAAGAAUGGAUAUGUAGUAACUAUACAUGUAAGAGACGGUACCUAACCAGAAAGCCACGGCUAACUACGU